rnacentral:rRNA from 1 species
GGCGGACGGGUGAGUAACGCGUGGGUAACCUGCCUCAUACAGGGGGAUAACAGUUAGAAAUGACUGCUAAUACCGCAUAAGCACACGUGAUCGCAUGAUCGAGUGUGAAAAACUCCGGUGGUAUGAGAUGGACCCGCGUCUGAUUAGCUGGUUGGUGGGGUAACGGCCCACCAAGGCGACGAUCAGUAGCCGGCCUGAGAGGGUGAACGGCCACAUUGGGACUGAGACACGGCCCAAACUCCUACGGGAGGCAGCAGUGGGGAAUAUUGCACAAUGGGGGAAACCCUGAUGCAGCGACGCCGCGUGAAGGAUGAAGUAUUUCGGUAUGUAAACUUCUUUUAUAAAGGAAUAAAGUCGGGUAUGGAUACCCGUUUGCAUGUACUUUAUGAAUAAGGAUCGGCUAACUCCGUGCCAGCAGCCGCGGUAAUACGGAGGAUCCGAGCGUUAUCCGGAUUUAUUGGGUUUAAAGGGAGCGUAGAUGGAUGUUUAAGUCAGUUGUGAAAGUUUGCGGCUCAACCGUAAAAUUGCAGUUGAUACUGGAUAUCUUGAGUGCAGUUGAGGCAGGCGGAAUUCGUGGUGUAGCGGUGAAAUGCUUAGAUAUCACGAAGAACUCCGAUUGCGAAGGCAGCCUGCUAAGCUGCAACUGACAUUGAGGCUCGAAAGUGUGGGUAUCAAACAGGAUUAGAUACCCUGGUAGUCCACACGGUAAACGAUGAAUACUCGCUGUUUGCGAUAUACUGCAAGCGGCCAAGCGAAAGCGUUAAGUAUUCCACCUGGGGAGUACGCCGGCAACGGUGAAACUCAAAGGAAUUGACGGGGGCCCGCACAAGCGGAGGAACAUGUGGUUUAAUUCGAUGAUACGCGAGGAACCUUACCCGGGCUUAAAUUGCAGAUGAAUUACGGUGAAAGCCGUAAGCCGCAAGGCAUCUGUGAAGGUGCUGCAUGGUUGUCGUCAGCUCGUGCCGUGAGGUGUCGGCUUAAGUGCCAUAACGAGCGCAACCCUUGUUGUCAGUUACUAACAGGUUCCGCUGAGGACUCUGACAAGACUGCCAUCGUAAGAUGUGAGGAAGGUGGGGAUGACGUCAAAUCAGCACGGCCCUUACGUCCGGGGCUACACACGUGUUACAAUGGGGGGUACAGAGGGCCGCUACCACGCGAGUGGAUGCCAAUCCCCAAAACCUCUCUCGGUUCGGACUGGAGUCUGCAACCCGACUCCACGAAGCUGGAUUCGCUAG